CUGCUGCCUUCCGUAGGAGUUUGGGCCGUGUCUCAGUCCCAAUGUGGCCGUCCACCCUCUCAGGCCGGCUACUGAUCGUCGCUUUGGUAGGCCGUUACCCUGCCAACUGGCUAAUCAGACGCGGGUCCAUCCCAUACCACCGGAGUUUUUCACACAGGAGCAUGCGCUCCCGUGCGCUUAUGCGGUAUUAGCACCUGUUUCCAGGUGGUAUCCCCCGGUAUGGGGCAGGUUACCCACGCGUUACUCACCCGUCCGCCACUAAG
rnacentral:rRNA from 1 species